AUCCCUUAACAACCUGCGGUUAUGAGAGAACCCCCACAUCACUAGCUUGCAUGUUCUGCAGCCUUGUAAAGAUAAGGAGGGGAUGACUGGGAGGCAGUUCUGUAAAGUGGUCACUAGCUGGAACAGGCACAAAGUAAUAAAAUCUGAUUUAAACCUCAACCCCAACCACACUGCUAAUCCUUCCCUUAAAUUAAGACCAAUAAAUAUAAUUAUUUUCCACAGAUGUUUACGAUAUAGCCAAUUUUGACUUUGCAGCUGGCAUAUCUAGAGGAAAACACACAGUUCUGGCUCCAGGUCAAGAUUCAUGACAAACAUCAACCUGCCUCCAGGUCAAGAUUCAUGACAAACAUCAACCUGCGACUGGCAGAGGCAAUGAAGAAUCGAUAACCAAAAUGUUUUCACAAUCAACAGGCUUUUUCUUGCUUCAAUUAUGUUUUAUUAUGAAAAGUACAAUAUAUCCUUGAUUACUUUUACAACUAUGGAGCGUAUGUCCAUAUAUAAUUGUACAAUUUGUUUUUCAACAUAAAAGACACACAACAAAUGAUCACAUUGUUAUUUCUAACGGUGUUAUUGUAAGAGUUUAAAUGUUUAAACAGAGGAUCCAUCUAAAACAGUAUAAAACAAGAUGAUAAACAGAGGAUCCAUCUAAAACAGUAUAAACCAAGA